GUUUUAUAAGGGGCUUCCCCAUUCACUCAGCACUCAUUCUCUCUCCUGCCGCCUUGUGAAGAAGUGCCUUCCACUAUGAUUCCUUACUCAAGAGCAUGAAAAUCAGGAGGUGAGAAUCACUGGAGGACAUCUUGGAGAUUGGCUACCAUAGCCUGGAUUAAGAGAAGGAAAAAACCAGAAAGAUCAUAGGGACAAAUCUACACAAAAAUUAAUUGGUAUGGCUCAGGAUGGGUGGGGGUGAGUGGUUCAGGACCAAGGAUAUGAACAAUAUAAUGGAGACAGGUCAUACUCUGUGUGGCUAUGGUUGUGUGGUUAAAGGUAGGGAUAUAUGACAUGAGGUAUCUCUCUGUAUGGACAAAUUUUCUUUGGAAACUUGAAUUCUCAGUGUGAAAGACUAGACGAAUGUAGACAGCAUGGAUAGCAUUCAGCUUAAAUAUGCAGAUGGGGGAAAUGUAUAAAUGAAGCAAAUUCUUCAGAAUAAAGUUUAAAAGUUAACAAUUUGGUCAGCCAAAGAUACAAAAGACAAUGUAUUUCAGAUAAUGCCAACAACUAGACGAAGAGAUGAUGUCACAAAAUGGAAUCUGCAAUUCAAGUAGAAAUAAAAGAUGUUGUGGUAAUGAGAAAGUAAUAAAGACCUGGUUUGAUCUUCAAGGAGAACUACAAACCACUGCUCAAGGAAAUAAAAGAGGAUACAAACAAAUGGAAGAACAUUCCAUGCUCAUGGGUAGGAAGAAUCAAUAUCAUGAAAAUGGCCAUACUGCCCAAGGUAAUUUACAGAUUCAAUGCCAUCCCCAUUAAGCUACCAAUGCCUUUCUUCACAGAAUUGGAAAAAACUACCUUAAAGUUCAUAUGGCCCCAAAAAAGAGC
rnacentral:lncRNA from 10 species